GAGUUUGAUCAUGGCUCAGGAUGAACGCUAGCGGGAGGCUUAACACAUGCAAGUCGAGGGGUAUAAGUAGCAAUAUUUAGAGACCGGCGCACGGGUGAGUAACGCGUAUGCAACCUGCCCUUUACAGGGGGAUAGCCCGUAGAAAUGCGGAUUAAUACCCCAUAGUACUAUUGGAUCGCAUGGUUUGAUAGUUAAAGUUUCGGUGGUAAAGGAUGGGCAUGCGUGACAUUAGCUAGUUGGAGAGGUAACGGCUCACCAAGGCUACGAUGUCUAGGGGUUCUGAGAGGAAGAUCCCCCACACUGGUACUGAGACACGGACCAGACUCCCACGGGAGGCAGCAGUGAGGAAUAUUGGUCAAUGGGCGAGAGCCUGAACCAGCCAUCCCGCGUGCAGGAAGAAUGCCCUAUGGGUUGUAAACUGCUUUUUCGCAUGAAGAACACUCCGGACGUGUCUGGAGCUGACGGUAAUGCGUGAAUAAGCACCGGCUAACUCCGUGCCAGCAGCCGCGGUAAUACGGAGGG
rnacentral:rRNA from 1 species